UACGUAGGGUGCAAGCGUUGUCCGGAAUUAUUGGGCGUAAAGAGCUCGUAGGCGGUUUCGUCGCGUCGGCUGUGAAAACCCGGAGCUCAACUCCGGGCCCGCAGUCGAUACGGGCGGACUUGAGUGUUGCAGGGGGAGACUGGAAUUUCCUGGUGUAGCGGUGAAAAUGCGCAGAUAUCAGGAGGAACACCGGUGGCGAAGGCGGGGUCUCUGGGGCAACUACUGACGUGAGGAGCGAAAAGCGUGGGGGAGCGAAACAGGG
rnacentral:rRNA from 1 species